UUUUACCAGGGGAUAAAAUUUCUUUUGGAAACUGGCAGCAUCCUUAAUGCUUUUUUUAACUUUAGAUAGGCUUUCCUUUUGUCUGUCUGCCAUUUUCAUUUUCUGAAAGCACAGGCUAAAUUUGCAUGACUAAGUAGAGGAUAGAAGAAUAACUUUGGAAAGUAGAAAUCAGUGUGUCUGGAUUGCUACAUAUGGAACUAGGAUAGCAGAAGGGGUCAUUUGGAGUCCGGUUUGCAUUGCUAGGUCUCCUGGGAAAAACUGGGAAGAGGAAUUUUGGACUGAUGCUUGCAUGCUCUGAUGAAGCCAGAUGCUGUGGUGGAGAGGAACACGUGACAAGGAAGGAAGGAUGGCUUCUGUUCGACAUCCUGAAAAGAACUGAGACCCCUGGUCUGAUAUCUGUGAGGAACUGAUAAUCCUGCUAACAACCACUGGGACACAGAGAAGAUACAGUCCUGCUCUCCCAGAUGCUGGCUUAGGUUAUAGAACAUCUUUGCUGUAGAUGAAAAGAUUGAUUGGAUGAUCUUCUCCAUGUCUCCAGCCUAUCUGCACCAAAACAACCUGUCUUGAGCAUGUGUGGUUGACAACUCGAUGGAAAGGGAUUGUGGCUGACAUACACAGGAAGAUCUACUUUCUUAAAAUCUCAUGUCCCAAGGAUCUUAUGAUUCCUUGAAUGGUGUCAACUGUGUUUUAUGAUUUAUUUAUUCAUCUACUCAAUUUAUUUUGAUUGUGUGCUGCUCUGUACCAGGAACUGUGCCAAGAAAUGGGGAUACAUUGUUGAACAAGAGGGAAUCCUAUCCUCAAGGAGCUUACAGUAGUCAGGGGAAGAUACGCACAUUUCUAGUAUGAAGAAGUAUGACAAAUGCUAGGAAAAUGGAAGUAGAGAGUGCUAUGGGGUACCCAGGAGGGUUAUUCAACCCGGUCUUAUACCAUCAGGGAAUGUUUCCCAAAGGAAAUAACAUCUAAUCUGAGACCUGAAGGAUAAAUACUAGUUAGGCAGAUUAAGGAGAACAACUGGUCAGAGGGGAUGGGUUUUAGUUUUAAGGUAUUCUAGAAAAACAACUUGGGCUAAGACCAGCAGGGAGUAAAAAGCAUUUGGCAAAUUGAAAGUAAUUUCUUGGGUUGAUAUGUAGAUGGCAUGGGAGAUGGAGGGGGGGAGAUGAAGCAGGAGAGGAAAGCAGAGGUCAGAUCAUGAAAGGCCUUAUAAGGAAGGUGAAGUGUAUGGGUGUUAUUUUGAGGACAAUGAGGAACCAUUACAUCUUUUCAUGUAGACGGUGUGUAGUAGAACUAUGUUUGCAUUUUAGAAAGCUUACCCUGAGGAUGAACUUGAGAUAAGCCUAGUACUAGAAGGGGGUUCUCUUAGGAGGUUGCUGCAGUAAUUGAGGCCAGAGAUGAUGAGCUGGACUUGGAUGGAGACAGUGGGGCUGGAGAGACAUGCCAUGUCUCUAAGAGGGUUUGAAGCAGGCAACCCAAACCUGGCAUGCUGUCCCAUUCAGACAGUUGCUGUCAUGACAGGGCAGCCCUGCAAAAUGCAAGUUGUCAUCUCCUUGUUUGAUUUCAGCUAACUGUGAGCUCCCUGGGGGCAGGGACUAUUUUGUAUUCAUCUGUGUGUCUCUAGUACCUGGGAGAUGCUCAGGGAAAGAAUGUUCUAGAAGAAGUUUUUUUGAUACAGUGGUUGCCCUCAUGACUUACCAGACCCAGCUUUGUUAGGAAAGGUCAAUGGCAAUCAUGAAAUCAAGGUCUAGAGCUAUUUCAGCCUGCACAUUAAGAUGUGGACCCUUUAACUUGGCUUACUCUGCCCAUUGAAAUGUCCAGGCUGGUUUUCCUGACUCAGUUCUCUUCUGCCAUCUGCUGGGACAAGCAUUUCAUAACGUACCAAAGCGAGAUAACCAAUGAAGCGAAGGCUAAAAGCUUCUUGGGGAAAGCAAGGGACAAUACCUGGACAACUUUACAAUUUAAUUGGAUCAAUACAUGUUGUACCCAGACUACCUUCCAUCUGCAGCUAAUCUCGAGUAUUUUCCAUAUCCCGUUCUAUUUUUUUUCAUGCAGACUAUCUUAAAUAUCUGUAUUCUUCUUUAGUUUUUGCAACAAUCCUAUGAGAACAGCCAAUGUUAUCACUACUAGUUUUGAAACAAGGAAAGGGAAGCAUAGGGGUUUAAAUAAAAUGUCAGCUUGGAAAAGUAAAUAAGUGACUGAGUCACGACUGAUGCCUCCUUUACUCCUAGUUCCACUUUUCUCACAAAACAUCCUGAUCAAAAUAAGAGAGAGUUCAAGAGAGGCCGAGAUGUGCUGUUGUCUGUGGCAUGGAAAAUGUGGGUCUGACAUGGAGGCAGAGAAGGCUGACAGCUCCUCAAUGUUCUGCACUUAAAAUGCCCAGUGUUGGUGUGAGGACUGGGGGGUGGAGAGAGUGGGAACAAUUCUUACACAUUUUAUGUUCCCCAGUGAAAAGUCAAGGGGAUGUCCCUGUGGGGGGAAAAAUUGUAACUCUAUGAAGAUUGAUAGAGCUUGAACCAAGAUGGUACCUAAAACUUUUGGUGGAUGUUGUCAAAAUAGAUGCUGUUGUUUUGGUUAACAUAUGUGGUUAAGACAAAGACGCAGAUAUAGAGGACAAACUAGUGGUUACCAGUGGGGAGAUGGAAGCGGGGAGGGGCAAUACAGGGGUAGGGGAGUAAGAGGUACAAAUUAUUAGGUAUAAAAUAACAACACGGGGAAUAUAGCCAAUAUUUUACAAUAACUUUAAAAACUGUGAAUCACUGUAUUGUACACUUGUAACAUAUAAUAUUGUACAGCAACUAUACUUCAGUUUAAAGAAAGACAAAGACACUAGCGCACCAUCCUUUUCUCAUCUAAACUUGUUAUUCGUAUAUAAAUACAUGCUUAUACAAAUGCAUAAAUAUAUUCUUGGAGUUAAAAAACCCAAACAUUCAGGGAAAGCUAAAAUUCUCCUUUACUUUCCCCAAAGAUACUGUCAGUGGUAAGCUUCCAGAUUUUUUUCUAUGUGUUUACAUAAACAUUUGUGUUGCCAUGGGAACAUGGUGUAUUGUUUGGUCUUUUAUUCCCGUAUGAAUGAUAUCUAGCUGUACUGCCUUACCUCUCCAAGUGAGGGUUCCACACUCUCCUGACUCACUGGGAUGUGCCCCUCCUGGGGCGCCACCUUAUUACACAGUCAUCCUCUGCCCAGCCCUCUCACACUAAGCCUCCAGGCUGGGAGCUCUCUAGAGCUUGUACCCAGCUUCACAAUAGCUUUCUUUCUUUCUUUUUUAAAUUGGGGUAAAAUAUACAUGGGACAGAUUUAUUAUUUUAACCAUUUUUAAGUGUGCAGUUCAGUGGCAUUAAGUGCAUUCACAUUGUUGUGCAACCAUCACCACCAUCCAUCUCCAGGACUUUUUCAUCUUCUUGAACUGAAACUCCACGGAUUAAACAACUCCCCAUUUCCCCU